CGCCGCCGAGCGGGGUCUGUGACCCCCGGCCGCCCGACGGCGGACCGAAAGACGGUCAAUGAAAAGUUGAAAGAAGAGAAGCUCGGAGAGGGCAGAAUUGCGUGCUGUGAAUACUUAUGGACCAGAGACCUUUUGAAGCCAGAAGGAACACUGUCUCGAGUCUUUGUUGUUCCCAAGGCCGGCUGCCGAGAGAGACCGGAUUCGCGGGGCCAGGAAGCCAGGCGCUCUCCCAGCUAGCUCCCAGGGUUGAAAAUACCAAGUAAGGAAUUAGUGUAUAGGAUGCUGGAAACUUGUAGUGACGAACUGCUCAUGACUGAAAGGCCUAGAACAGAUGUAUCUUUCAAGUUCUUACCAAGAAAACAGCUAUGAAGAAAAUGAUGGGUCAAGAAGACCAGUGGAAAACUCC
rnacentral:lncRNA from 1 species